UUUUCCAAUCAGAAGACAUUUUUUAAUAAAGAACAUCAUACACGCAGAAUUUAAAUUUCAAAAGUAAUUUUUUUAAACAAACACAGUAUGAAUUUGGUGUGCAUCUGUUAUGUGUGGUUGGGUUAUAAAUUUCGAUUUUCAGAACACAUUUAAUAUCAUUCUACGAGCUUCAUAAGCUUGUGAGACAAAACAGAGACCUUUAACAAGGUAGUGGUAUCAAUUCGAGACCUUUAACAAGGUUGGAACAUGGAUCUGCGACCUUUAAUAAGGUUGGAACAUGGAUCUGAGACCUUUAGCAAGGUUUAGAAAUGGAUUCGCGACCUUUAAUAAGGUUGGCACAUGGAUUCACGACCUUUAAUAACAUUGAUAUAUGGAUUCGCGACCUUCUGAACGUUGUUAAUUGAAUUCACGACCUUCCGGGAAGAUUGCUAGAUGGAUUCACGACCUUCACAAGGUCGCAGUUUCAGUUCCAGACUUUUGCAGACAAAUUCAGCUUUUGCAGGAGACCAUUUACUUUUGCAGAAAAUGGAGAGAAGGUCGUGAAUCCAUUUGUAAACCUUGCAGAAGGU
rnacentral:lncRNA from 1 species